UAUCUCUGUAGAGUCUGCAUAUCAAUAAGCGGAGGAAAAGAAACUAACAAGGAUUCCCCUAGUAACGGCGAGUGAAGCGGGAAGAGCUCAAAUUUGAAAUCUUAAAGGGUUUCCCUUCACGAAUUGUAGUUUAAAGAAGUGUUUUCUGUUGGAGUUUCGGUAAAAGUUCUUUGGAAUAGGACAUCAUAGAGGGUGAGAAUCUCGUAUUUGACCGUUACUUUCCAGCUGUGUGAUACACUUUCAAAGAGUCGGAUUGUUUGGGAAUGCAGUCCAAAAUGGGUGGUAAAUUUCAUCUAAAGCUAAAUAUUGGCGAGAGACCGAUAGCGAACAAGUACCGUGAGGGAAAGAUGAAAAGAACUUUGAAAAGAGAGUUAAACAGUACGUGAAAUUGUCAAAAGGGAAGCGUUUGACACCAGUGUUGUUUAGUUGAAAAUCAAUUCAAUAAUUUUUGAUUUUGAGUAGUAUUGACUUCAUCAGCUUGCUGCUUUCUUUUCAGAAAUUAUUGAAUGCACUUUUCAGUUAACAAGUCAACAUCAAUUUCUUUUGUUGUAAAAGGGUAAGAGGAAGGUGGCUUACGCUUCGGCGUAAGUGUUUAUAGCCUUUUACCUCUGCAAUCGGAGAGAUUGAGGUCUGCAGCGUAGACUCUUCGGGGUUAGAUACACUUGUGCUAAGCUAUAGCCUUGUAUAGACAACUUGUUGACUAUGCUCAGUCAUGUAGCUUACUCGCUUGUGCUAUUUUACCUACGCUUAGGAUGUUGAGUAGCGACAUACGCAC
rnacentral:rRNA from 1 species